GGUUUGUAGCUUUUAAUUGAGACAAUUAAAUGCAAGUGCAUGCACCCGAGAUUUAAAAUUAGAUAUAUAUAACGUUAUUUUCUUUUCCUGCCAAAUUGACACAUUUUUAAAUUCCGUUUAUUUUGAUAGAAGAUGUACUGUUUAGUUCCAUUGGUAACUUUAACAUGCUUUUCAGAAAUUUAACAUGACAUGUUAUGAGCAUGAACUAGACUUUCGAGCUCAGUCUGUAUAAAUAUGAAUAUAAAA
rnacentral:lncRNA from 1 species